GUGGGUUUUAGAAGAUCUAUAAAGGCAAGAAGCCUAGUUACUUAAACAAAGUUUAUCAGCAGAUUUGAACCAACCAAAGCUAAUUUCCUUGCUACCGACUAUACAGAGAUAAUUUACUGGAACACUACUACGCUUUUGCCGCAACCUUUGCUGUGAAGAAACUUAGAUGAAGAUACUUGGUCGCGGCUGAGUGGAACUUUGAAAAGUACCCAUGUCACACCUAAGCAGUAAAACGAUGCGUAAAGCUUGUAACAGAGGCUUCACAAAAAGUAGCUGGCUUUAAAUUCAGAAAUAGAUUUUAUAAGAACUAAACAUUAUAAGAACUCCAGAUCCUCAAUACCUAUUUUUUUAAGCAAAUCAUUUUUUAAACUACGGAAAAAAUUAACGAAAAAUAUUAACUAAAGAGUUUAUUCAAUUUCAAUUCAUUUGUUAAAAAAUAUAAAAAGGGAAAAUUUCUUCAAUUAUUCAAGCUCCUGACGUAAAAAGAUAAGUUAAAAAGAGGACAACUAAAAACUGAAAACUUCAAAAUAGUUAAACUCCUCGGGUCAGGUGGAUAUGGAAAGGUCUAUCUUUGUACUGAAAAAAAUACAGGCGAAAAAUUUGCAAUGAAAUGCAUUGAGUCUGAAAACACUGAUCGUAACGUAAUAGCACAACAAGUGGAACAACUAAAGCAAGAAAUUUCUGUUUUUAAAACAUUAAACCAUAUACGAAUUGUGAAAUACUAUGGGUUUACUUAUGAUAGCACAUCAAUCUCUAUUUUAAUGGAAUACAUGGAAGGGGUAUAUAAGUUUUGUUAAUUUUUUUUUUAUGAACUGUUUAUCUUUAAUUGUU